AGAGUUUGAUCAUGGCUCAGGACGAACGCUGGCGGCGUGCCUAAUACAUGCAAGUCGAGCGGACCGAACGAGAGCUUGCUCUUGUUUGGUCAGCGGCGGACGGGUGAGUAACACGUGGGCAACCUGCCCGCAAGACCGGGAUAACUCCGGGAAACCGGAGCUAAUACCGGAUAACACCAAAGACCGCAUGGUCUUUGGUUGAAAGGCGGCUUCGGCUGUCACUUGCGGAUGGGCCCGCGGCGCAUUAGCUAGUUGGUGAGGUAACGGCUCACCAAGGCGACGAUGCGUAGCCGGCCUGAGAGGGUGACCGGCCACACUGGGACUGAGACACGGCCCAGACUCCUACGGGAGGCAGCAGUAGGGAAUCUUCCGCAAUGGACGAAAGUCUGACGGAGCGACGCCGCGUGAGCGAAGAAGGCCUUCGGGUCGUAAAGCUCUGUUGUGAGGGACGAAGGAGCGCCGUUG
rnacentral:rRNA from 1 species